UGGCUUUGGAGGUGUUGGCGGCAGCGCUGGUUUCUACAGUGGUUCUUAUCCCUUCGGUAGUGCAGAAUACGCUCCUUGGCUUGGGUUUCCAAAGGGGUUCUACUACUCUCUGAGGGACUUGAGCCCAAACCCAUAUUUCCGGCUCCCAGACCCCUCAGCCUGGCUCCCUGAUGGAGUUCCGGUGGGCUCCCUUCCCGCCCCUGUCCGGGGUCCUACGUCUUACCUGGUCCAGUCCAGCAACGGCUACCAGCGAGCCAGAGAAGUCCUCUCCCACUCCAAAUACGACCCGGAUGACUUCGGCCCGUUCUACCCGCCGGUGGACCCAGCAGUUCCAACAAUAGGACCCGUAGGGAAGAAGGUCUAAGGAGGUGAAGCUGAUCAGCAGAACCUCCAAGAACCAACAACUUACAUUGAAUAAACUUUAAACCAUGACUCUGAA